UUCGUAAAACGUCAGCCCUUGAUUAGCGUCUACCCAUGGUGGGGCAUCCUUGGCAUCUGACCAAAAGAAGUCUUGCAGAUGUACUCGACGUCCUGGCAGAUGCUCGAUCAGAAUAAUUUCAUCCUCUGAGCAAACUGAGGAUAGAUUACGGUGAUAUCAAGUCGAACAAGAAAUUGUAUAUCGUAUUUCACGAUACGUAGUAGUACGAAGAAUAAAUAUUUUCGAGUAUUCAGUUUGAUUGAGACGAGUAAUCGAUUCAAAUUUAUGCUUCAAUGCAACGAUAACCGUCUUUAUUGCAUCGUGUAAACGUGGUAAUGUAUAAACGAGGUUUGUCUUAUGAAAUUAACUGCGUUGAUUACAAAAGUAGAACAAAUACCCUUUUUCUUUUUAAUAUACAGGAUAUAGGUUAAUCGCUGCGUGAUAUUGUUUUAAAUAUCGUUGGAAUUGUAACUGUUAUUCGUUGACAAGUAUAUUCUCGUAAAACAUUUUGCUAAAGCAUCCAAAAUAAAAUCUAUCAAGAAUUAAACGUUAUAACAUAAUUUUAUAUAAAUAAUCGUCUUGCUUACGCUUACAGCUGUUAAUGUCAAUUUUAUUUAAAAAAAACAAGCGUAAAAUUAAUAUACGCGAAAUAAUACAAAAUAAUUAUUUGAAAAUUUCAAUGAAAUGUUACAGUUCAGGACAUCUCGCGAGUAAAAUAUUCUUUUGAGGUUAUGUAAUUUCAGAUUACAUGAUAUUUAUUUCCGCAUUGCUAUGAAAGAGGAACAGACAAACGUGAAGCGGUGGUGCGUGAAAGCUUCACUUUCAUAGGAACUUAUCGUCGACAAGGGCAAUGACCUUUAGUCAUGCGAAUCGUUUACGAGACAAUGUGACAUUAAAUAUAACGAAUAGACCAACUUGGUCCUAAACACCCGACAUUAAACAGACGUUUUUAUGAAACGACAAAAUUGGCUUGAUAUUAUCGAGACAACAAGCGAUCCCGAUUGUUCAAUUAAUAUUGAUCGUGAUGGAUUAAUUUCUCAUGUGCGAGACAGGCUAAAAAGUGUAGGGAACUAUUUUAACGACUUCAAAAACUAUGAAGUAACCAAUUAGAGUACAUACUAGUUGAAAACUUCCGGUAGAAGGAGAAAAUCUGUCAAAAAGUUUGUCGUGCUACUGCGUGACUAUAAAUUGCUCGUUAAUUUGCACGAGGUCAUUGAAUUCUCUUUUAUUGGAACUUUGUUCCAUGAAUAGGUAGGUAAGUACCUAUGUAUUCAAUUUCACUUGAAGUUGGCUAAUACUUACUUUAGCAUAUUUCACUCACGAAUUAUGCAUAUGACGAAUAAAACUUCAAAAUGAAUUAUAAGCAGACAAAGUAUCGCUACCCCCACGGUGCGUUAAAAUAAUUUCAAAUUGGAAAAUUAUAUAAUCGGUGAAAUCGUUUCAAGCGUAUGUAUUAAUUAAAAAACAGACAGAUACAUUACUGUUUCUAAGAAUAAAAAGUAAAAUAUAACAACAGGUUAGGAAGAACCUUUGACAAAAUUAUAAAACGCAAGAAAUAACAAACUGCUUGUUUAAA